rnacentral:rRNA from 1 species
CCUACGGGAGGCAGCAGUGGGGAAUAUUGGGCAAUGGAGGAAACUCUGACCCAGCGACGCCGCGUGCGGGAUGAAGGCCUUCGGGUUGUAAACCGCUUUCAGCAGGGAAGAAGCGAAAGUGACGGUACCUGCAGAAGAAGCACCGGCUAACUAUGUGCCAGCAGCCGCGGUAAUACAUAGGGUGCAAGCGUUGUCCGGAAUUAUUGGGCGUAAAGAGCUCGUAGGUGGUUCGUCACGUCGGAUGUGAAAAUCUGGGGCUUAACCCCAGACCUGCAUUCGAUACGGGCGAGCUUGAGUAUGGUAGGGGAGUCUGGAAUUCCUGGUGUAGCGGUGGAAUGCGCAGAUAUCAGGAGGAACACCAAUGGCGAAGGCAGGACUCUGGGCCAUUACUGACACUGAGGAGCGAAAGCGUGGGGAGCGAACAGGAUUAGAUACCCUGGUAGUCCACGCCGUAAACGGUGGGCACUAGUUGUGGGGACCUUCCACGGUCUCUGCGACGCNGCACGCAUAGUGCCCGCCGNGGGNGGACGAGUCGCAGAUAAACUACAANAGAAGUAGACGGCGNGAGACGUGCCGACGACGACGACGAGGGAGGUUAGG